rnacentral:tRNA from 116 species
GGAUGGGUGUCCGAGUGGUUUAAGGAACCGGUCUUGAAAACCGGCGUGCGUGAGAGCGUACCGUGGGUUCGAAUCCCACCCCAUCUGCCA